GCCCCCCUAGCUCAGUUUGGCUAGAGCUUCCGACUUUUAGAUUAGAUAAUUGAUCGGACGGUCGCGGGUUCGAGCCCCGCGGGGGGCU